GAUCUGGCUGCAACAUCUGUCACUCCAUUGAUCAUGACGGUUGAUUUGGCUAACUAUGCGGGUGUCCCCUUC
rnacentral:snRNA from 1 species